rnacentral:rRNA from 1 species
AUUGAACGCUGGCGGCAGGCCUAACACAUGCAAGUCGAACGAGUGGCGGACGGGUGAGUAAUGUCUGGGAAACUGCCUGAUGGAGGGGGAUAACUACUGGAAACGGUAGCUAAUACCGCAUACCAUCGGAUGUGCCCAGAUGGGAUUAGCUAGUAGGUGGGGUAAUGGCUCACCUAGGCGACGAUCCCUAGCUGGUCUGCGAGGAUGACCGGCCACACGGGAACUGAGACACGGUCCAGACUCCUACGGGAGGCAGCAGUGGGGAAUAUUGCGCAAUGGGCGCAAGCCUGAUGCAGCCAUGCCGCGUGUAUGAAGAAGGCCUUCGGGUUGUAAAGUACUUUCAGCGGGGAAGCGUUACUCGCAGAAGAAGCACCGGCUAACUCCGUGCCAGCAGCCGCGGUAAUUC